GGAGUUUAACAUGGGAAAGGAGAAUUGUUUUCCAUCAUGGGAAAGUUAUUUUAAACCAUUGGAUCAAAUAGAUAACAUAGUUUUACAGUGGACAUUCAGCACCAAAUUUUUUCUCACACUCACCCACAUACAACUCUCCUUCAUCCUCUCCGGUAUCUGUGUUUUCUAAUUUCUUUUAUAUUCUGGCAAAAAAAGUGGUUCUUCCACAAAAGCUUCAUGAAGCUUUCAAAGACAAAACAAAGCCAAGAAGCUUUCUUCUGGCUUAAACAUGUCAAUCCCAAUCCACAACCUCAUAUACUUAUUAAGCAACAUCUUUCAUAUUUCAAUCAAUAAAAAUACUCACACAUCCAUAGAAAUUAAAUAAUAAAAAUAGCACAAGGACCCAAAAUUCCAAGAACGAAUUGCAAAGUAAAGAGAGAGAAAAAAUCUUGGAUUGAAUUUGGGUGUGGUUUUUCAGUUUGGGGGAAUUGUCUUCAGAGGUUAAAGAGAAGCACAAGUUCAAUGGAAUUUUUAACAUGAAUGGUUUUUUAUGUUGUACAAAGUAGCAGAUCGGAUAGAGACUUCAAUCCCCAUUAACAAAGCUUGUAUCUUUUCCUCAAUUCUAAAUGAAAAUUUUUUCUAUGAUGUUAGUUUUAAUUUAUUCAUGUUUAAUUAUUUGUCACUUGUAGAGAGAAUCACAUGUCCAUGGGAAUUUCAGUGACAGUAACAAGGCAAUGGUUUAUGGAAGAUCAAUUUUUCUAGGUUUGAAGAAGAGGAGGAAAGAGAGUUGCAGCAACAGCCGUUUGUGGGUGAGUGGUGAGUGUGGGAAAAAAAUUUGAUGCUGAAAGUCCAUGAUAAAACUAUGUUCUCUAUUUGAUCCAAUGGUUUAAAAUAACUUUCCUAUGGUGGAAAACAAUUCUCCUUUCCCAUGUUAAACUCUACCGUCAAUUGAAUAGUCUUAGGUACUUUUGAAGGACACAGAAUUUAUGUUUCCAAGUGCUUUCUUGUUGAGAGGGAAGAUAUUUGAAGUUUUCUAAUCCAUUCGUAUACCUUGCAAAGACCGUGCAUCCUGUGUAGAUAGUGCUUAUUUUUUCGUUUUGUAUACUUCGUUGAUUCUUUUUUAAUUAUCGCAUUUGAAACAAGGAAACAUUAUAUAUUUUUUAAAGCUAGAAAUAAUUUUCAAAAUCAACAAUCUCACAUCAAUCGUUUUAAUAAAAACAAUGUAC
rnacentral:lncRNA from 1 species